UACAGAGGUCCCGAUCGUUGUUCGGAUUCACUGGGCGUAAAGGGUGCGUAGGUGGCGUGGUAAGUUUGAUGUGAAAGCUCAGGGCUUAACCCUGAAAUGGCAUUGAAUACUACUGUGCUGGAGGUUUGGAGGGGGGACUGGAAUUCUUGGUGUAGCAGUGAAAUGCGUAGAUAUCAAGAGGAACACCAGUGGCGAAGGCGAGUCCCUGGACAACACCUGACACUGAGGCACGAAAGCUAGGGGAGCAAACAGG
rnacentral:rRNA from 1 species